rnacentral:rRNA from 1 species
CCCUUAGAUGUUCUGGGCGGCCCGCGCACUACAAUGGCGUGUGCAGCGAGUGCCGAAGUAGAGUUUUCCGAGGUAUUCUUGCAAUGCUCGUUUUGAUGGGGAUAGACCCUUGCAACUGUUGGUUUUGAACGAGGAAUUCCUUGUAAGCAUGGUUUAUCAUCCGACGCUGAGUGCGUCCCUGCCCUUUGUACACACCGCCCGUCGCUCCUACCGAUGAGUCGUCCGGUGAAGUUCGUAGACCUCGUGAUCGCGGAUCACUGGGGGAAGCAAAAUGAACCUCGCGGUUUAGAGGAAGGAGAAGUCGUAACA